rnacentral:rRNA from 1 species
AUUGAACGCUGGCGGCAUGCCUAACACAUGCAAGUCGAGCGAGUGGCGGACGGGUGAGUAAUGUCUGUGACACUGCCCGAUGGAGGGGGAUAACUACUGGAAACGGUGGCUAAUACCGCAUACCAUCGGAUGUUCCCAGAUGGCAUUAGCUAGUAGGUGGGGUAACGGCUCACCUAGGCGACGAUCCCUAGCUGGUCUGAGAGGAUGACCAGCCACACUGGAACUGAGACACGGUCCAGACUCCUACGGGAGGCAGCAGUGGGGAAUAUUGCGAAAUGGGCGCAAGCCUGACGGAGCAAUGCCGCGUGUAUGAAGAAGGUCUUCGGGUUGUAAAGUACUUUCAGAGGGGAGGCGUUACCCGCACAAGAAGCAACGGCUAACUCCGUGCCAGCAGCCGCGGUAAUUC